rnacentral:rRNA from 2 species
UCCGUAGGUGAACCUGCGGAAGGAUCAUUAUUGAUUGGUCGAAAGACCUUAUCAGAUUCUACCACCUCUGUGAACUGUUGACCUCCGGGUCUAAUUCAAACAUCAGUGUAAUGAACGUAAAUCUUAUAACAAAACAAAACUUUCAACAACGGAUCUCUUGGCUCUCGCAUCGAUGAAGAACGCAGCGAAAUGCGAUAAGUAAUGUGAAUUGCAGAAUUCAGUGAAUCAUCGAAUCUUUGAACGCACCUUGCGCCUUUUGGUAUUCCGAAAGGCAUGCCUGUUUGAGUGUCAUGAAAUCUCAAUCCCUCUGGUUUUCUGAACUGGUUGGAUUGGACUUGGGUGAUUUGCCAGCAAUGGCUCGCCUCAAAUGACUUAGUGGAACAUCCCACAUCAGUGUUAGACGUAAUAAGUUUCGUCUCUCCUUGUGGUGAUGACUGCUUAGAACCUGCCAUCGCGCAACCUUUUGACAUUGACCUCAAAUCAGGUAGGGCUACCCGCUGAACUUAAGCAUAUCAAUAAGCGGAGGA